AUCCAGCUGACAAGUUUUGAAUAGGACGAAACGCGCGUCCUAUAU
rfam:Schistosoma curassoni strain Dakar, Senegal genome assembly, scaffold: SCTD_scaffold0000029